rnacentral:tRNA from 2 species
UGGGGUGUCGUCAAGUGGUAAGACACGAGCCUUUGGAGCUCGCAUCGCAGGUUCGAAUCCUGCCACCCCAG